GGAGGGGGCGGCUGCCAGCACCUGAGUUUGGAGUCUGAGAUGUCUAAUUCCAGGUGCAUGAGGUGUCGCUCGGUUCCCUGGUUCAGCUUCCGGUUGGUGGUGACCUCAGCCAAGAACGGAUUCUUGGCAUCGAAGGGGCUGGGUGGGGAAGAGAGCAGCUCAGUGAUUGGCCAAGCCCUCAGUCCGAAUCUCCCUGCCCCCAAGGGACCCUUCUGGUUUCACAGAACACAGGGAACCUUAGAGCCGGCCUCCAAGGGCCCCAGGAAACCUCUCCAAUUAUGUCAAAGGUUCUCCCAGCCCCAUCCAAGGCAGUGCCCCCAACGACCCCCAGAAGUGGGCAGAGCUGGGUUAUCAGUGUCUCCAUUUACAGAUAAGGAAACUGAGGCUGGCCCCUAAAGGUCCUGGGUUAUCAGUGUCUCCAUUUACAGAUAAGGAAACUGAGGCUGGCCCCUAAAGGUCAAGGAGACCCUCCACCCACUACGUGUUCGUGGGCUGAGUGACAGGAGGACCAGACCCUGUAGACCGCACCCCACGACAAGCUCUUCAGUCUGCCCAUCUCCCCGACGUACACCUUGGCCGUGUCGAUGUCUGUGUGGACCACAAGCUCGUACUGGCGAAUGCUGGCAAGGGGAGACAGGGUGAGGCGGGGAGGGUCCGGAGGAGGUGGGAGGGCCGGGAGCCUGGGAUGCCACAGGCUUUGAAGCCAUUCUAGGAGAAGAUGAGGAAAGGCCCCCCCCCCCCAGUUGCCCGUCCCUUCCAGGCAAAGCCCAAGUGCCUUAACGGGGGCCCCAGGACCCCCUCGUUCUGGGACUGAACGUCUGCCAGGUCCUGGCAUGCCCCUCCCCCCGUGCGCGCACGCUCACCUGGACUCCUCCCCGGUGGCCUCCACCCCGAAGUGCUCGCACACAGCCGGCCAGAACUGCUCUCGCCACGUGAUGAAGUCCUCCUCCAGACUUGGGGGAUAGCGGGGAGUGAGUGAGCCCCUCUCCCCGCCCAGCCUGAGGGCCCCCACCCCCACCUGGGGAGGAGCCUGAGGCAUCAGGGGGCACUUGGGGGGGCUGUGCUAAGCAGGCGCAGCUCGGAGCCCAGAGGUUGUGGAAGAGCAAGGACGGGUUGACUGCCCUCCCUGCCGCUGGCGCGGCCUGUGGCAGCUUCUCAGACAAGUGGCUGGCAUGCCCUCGUGUGUCCCGGUGGGCCCUAACCCUGUGGGCUCCAGGGAGAGGGGCCCGGGCACUCACUUCCCAUCGUCGUCGCCCAUCCCCAGCUCGAAGAUCCGCUGGGCGCCGAGCUGCUCCAGCCGCUUGUCCACGUACUUGCCCAUGGCGUUGAAGUGCUCGUAGGUCUUGUUCCCGAGACCAAACACCUGUGUGGACAGAGGGACGCGUCUGAGGCCUGGUCAGCGGUCAGGGGUGGGUUUCCCCCGGGCUGGCCAAGCCACCACACUGCACCCUUGGGCCUCUACACCUGCCAGGCACCUUGCACUGUGAGGCGGGCCACCUUUGGGCCCUAGAAGUGGCUUUGUUUUGGUGACGUGUGGCCCCUAAGCCUCAACCCUGGGCGGCCAGCAGGGGUGAUUCACCCUCCUGGCCCCGCCUGUGGUGGUCAGUCUGCUCCACCCUUCUCCCCUUUCCCACAAACAGUGCUCCUGGAGCAAAGCAGGACUGGGGAUCCGGGAGCACACUCUCAGCGCUGGAGCCCUGGGCAGAAGCGAGGGCUGUCCCACGAGCAGCCUUCCCUGGACCUCCCCGCCAGGCCCCUGCUCUAAGCCUCUGCCCUGACACCUUGGCCUGGUGGGAACUGAGGGUCCAGGGGCCCCAGAGAGCCCUGGGGGGAAGAUGGGGAGACUCACCGCAUACUUGACUCCAGAGAGGUCCACAUCCGUCUCCUGGAGCCAGUCGUAGAAGUCCUGUGCAUUGUCUGUGGGGUCCCCCUCACCAUAGGUGGCCAUGCAGAACACUGCCAGGGAGUUGUCGAUCUCCGGCAGGCUGCCCAGGUCGGCCUGGAGAGACGAGAGCAGGGCCCAGGCCCAGCGACCGUGACUGAGCCUGUGUCAGGUCUGUGCCCACUGGGAUGCAGACAGGUGAGCCCAGGCCCUGCCCAGGGCGGCUGCUGUGGGAUGGGACAGAAUGAUUCCGUUGGGAAGGGGCAUGGAGCAGUCAGGGAGGGCUGCAUGGAGGGGGCUGGCAUAUGAACCAGUGCCUUUCCAAAGGAAAGGGAACAGCAGGCACGAAAGAACACGCGUAAGGGGCUGACAGGCAGAAGCAGGCUCGGGUCUGGGCCACCAGCCAGCACUCAGAACCCGGUUCUGUGCAUGGGGCCCUGGGAGACCCUCCUCGUCCCACAACAUCCUGGGACCGCAGCAGGGCCUGGGCUCUUGCAAAUUCCUAACCAGCUGCUGGCUAAUUUAAAACCCAGGCGUGCAGACAGACGGGGCGGCGGUGCUGGUCACUAAGACCCAAGGUGGUGAAUGCAGGAGAGAUUGGUUCCGGGGGAAGGGACAGCUGGCAGUGGGGGCUGGGCUACCUCACAAUGACCCCGUCAGGGGAGGAGCAAGACGGCAACUCCGGCUUCACCCGCCUUCCUGUCCACCGCCUCUACCUGGGGCUGGUGGCCGGGCUGUCAUUAGCCCCCUGACUCUGAAAUAGGCAAGCAGACGGCUAGAAGUUUCUUGGGCUUUCGAGAGCUGCUUCCAAGCUUGGGAAGGACACGCAGCCAAUGUCUGGAGGAGAGUGAGCAAGGCCACGCCCACCCCACCUGGUGCUUGCGUCCCAGCGCAGCCCCCAGCAUGGGGGCGCCCAGGGCGCACAGCGCAGGGAAGGCUGAGGGUACACCGCGCCAGGAGCUCACACGUGCACGCCGGGGGCCAGCUGGCUGCCCGGACAAACGACAGGAGAUGCCCGUCCCCGUCCGUCCGGGUGGCUGACUCACCCGCACUACAGGAAGAGCUAGGAGAAGGGCUGGGGAGUGGGGCCUGCUCACCAAGUCAUACUCCUCGGGGUCUGCAGCCAUGCCCCGCAUCCCGUAGCGGUGCGCGUCCUUGGACAAGCGGUUGGCAAACUCCUCUGCCGUCCCCGUCUGGGAGCCGUAGAACACGAUGAUGUUCCUGCCCUAGGGAAGGCCAGACACGCAGGAUCAGUGAGGGACCAAGAGCCACAGGCUUCAGCAGAGACCCCAGGUGGCCACAGGGCGGGCUAGGCAGGUGAGGUCUGUCCAGGGCGCCCUCUUCGAUCCUGCUCCAAGUCUUCCUAAGUCACUUGGGGGCGAUCGUCCCACUGCCCCAGCUACUUCCGGAGGACAGUGACAAAAGCCAUCCAGAAGUGAAGUGUGCUCUGCACACUUGGGACAGAUUUUUAAAGGACAUGUAAAAAAAGAUGACCAGGGGCGCCUGGGUGGCUCAGUUGGUUCGGUGGCCGGCUUCGGCUCAGGUCAUGAUCUCACAGUU